GAUGAACGCUGGCGGCGUGCCUAAUACAUGCCAGUCGAGCGGACAGAUGAGGAGCUUGCUCCUCUGACGUUAGCGGCGGACGGGUGAGUAACACGUGGAUAACCUACCUAUAAGACUGGGAUAACUUCGGGAAACCGGAGCUAAUACCGGAUAAUAUAUUGAACCGCAUGGUUCAAUAGUGAAAGACGGUUUUGCUGUCACUUAUAGAUGGAUCCGCGCCGCAUUAGCUAGUUGGUAAGGUAACGGCUUACCAAGGCAACGAUGCGUAGCCGACCUGAGAGGGUGAUCGGCCACACUGGAACUGAGACACGGUCCAGACUCCUACGGGAGGCAGCAGUAGGGAAUCUUCCGCAAUGGGCGAAAGCCUGACGGAGCAACGCCGCGUGAGUGAUGAAGGUCUUCGGAUCGUAAAACUCUGUUAUUAGGGAAGAACAAAUGUGUAAGUAACUAUGCACGUCUUGACGGUACCUAAUCAGAAAGCCACGGCUAACUACGUG
rnacentral:rRNA from 1 species